rnacentral:rRNA from 1 species
AUUGAACGCUGGCGGCAGGCUUAACACAUGCAAGUCGAGCGGGGUGAUGGUGCUUGCACUAUCACUUAGCGGCGGACGGGUGAGUAAUGCUUAGGAAUCUGCCUAUUAGUGGGGGACAACAUCUCGAAAGGGAUGCUAAUACCGCAUACGUCCUACGGGAGAAAGCAGGGGAUCACUUGUGACCUUGCGCUAAUAGAUGAGCCUAAGUCGGAUUAGCUAGUUGGUGGGGUAAAGGCCUACCAAGGCGACGAUCUGUAGCGGGUCUGAGAGGAUGAUCCGCCACACUGGGACUGAGACACGGCCCAGGCUCCUACGGGAGGCAGCAGUGGGGAAUAUUGGACAAUGGGGGGAACCCUGAUCCAGCCAUGCCGCGUGUGUGAAGAAGGCCUUAUGGUUGUAAAGCACUUUAAGCGAGGAGGAGGUUCUUUUGGUUAAUACCCAAGAUGAGUGGACGUUACUCGCAGAAUAAGCACCGGCUAACUCUGUGCCAGCAGCCGCAGUAA